GCCACUUAUACACGAUAUUGGGCUUGUUGGCCUUGGGCCCAAGCCCAUUAGGGAAACCUAGUAUUUAAAACUAGAGAAACCCUAGUUCCUCAUUUUUACACCUGCGCACACAACGAUCCCCUCCUCUACUCUCCUUCUCCUUCAAGAGUGAAACCCUAAUCCCAAGUUCAGAUCAACAGCCAUAUAUGAAGUCCUUCCCUCAUAUUAAUUUUGCUUUCUCUGUUAAAUUAAAGAACAUCCACACACAAAUAACACUUUAACAUCUUCACAAACUUCUGAUUCACAAGGCAAACCACCAUACUCACCUGCUACCCCCUAACCCCUCCCUCUCGAUCCCCUCGGUCAGGUGACCGGAGCCGGACAUGGGCAUAUCGGCGGACCUCCUCGUCCGUUCGACUUCACCGACGAGACACCCACCCCCAAAUCACACCACCCUCCUUCGUGACCACACAUCCGAACCCCCAUCUUCUCCACACCCCCCCCCGGUCGAUUAGCAUGACGAACCACCACCACCGGCGUCUGGUGGUGGUGCGACGGAGAAACAGAAAGAGAGAGAGAGAGAGGCGAUGUGGGAGAGAAAGGAUGAAAUGAGAGGAACGAUGACGGAGACUGACCGGCGACAGGCCGUCUCUCGGACGACGGCAACGAGCGACGACGGCUAUGGUGGUUGUCAUCAGGUGAGAUUUUAUUCGGAUUUGGGUUUCGGAGCAGCCAUGGUUCAAGUAUGGUUCAGUUCUGCUUGAGUGUUUCGGCUUGUAAGUAGAUUGAUUGUUUUUUUUUCGGGUCAAAUAUGGUUCGGGUGAUGCUCGGGUCGGAUCUAGUCAACAGUGUUUAAGUUUGGUUCGGGUUCUUGUUCGGUUCAACUCAGAUCUGGGGUUCAAGUAGUCACAUCCGCGGGAUCGGGUCACGGUUCGGUUCGAUUCAACAAGUCAGACUGCGGGUCAAAGUUAGUCAACCACAGGUCAUGGUUUGUUUCGGUCAGAUUUGGUUUCGGGUCAAACCGAGUCAACUCGGGUCUACAGACGGUCAACGCAGUCAACAACAGUCAAUGAAGACCCGGAAUGCUUUAGUUGCACGCUAGCGAGUUCACAUUCUUGGAAUGACAUCACAGAAUCACGUUAAACUAGUUUUGCACAGGAAUGUCAAGGUUAAAUUUUUCAAACUACGGAACGGUUGGAAUAGGAGCACCCAUGGGAAUUCGAGUAACUA